GAUGAACGCUGGCGGCGUGCCUAAUACAUGCAAGUCGAGCGAACAGACGAGGAGCUUGCUCCUUCGACGUUAGCGGCGGACGGGUGAGUAACACGUAGGUAACCUACCUAUAAGACUGGGAUAACUUCGGGAAACCGGAGCUAAUACCGGAUAAUAUUUCGAACCGCAUGGUUCGAUAGUGAAAGAUGGCUUUGCUAUCACUUAUAGAUGGACCUGCGCCGUAUUAGCUAGUUGGUAAGGUAACGGCUUACCAAGGCAACGAUACGUAGCCGACCUGAGAGGGUGAUCGGCCACACUAGAACUGAGACACGGUCCAGACUCCUACGGGAGGCAGCAGUAGGGAAUCUUCCGCAAUGGGCGAAAGCCUGACGGAGCAACGCCGCGUGAGUGAUGAAGGUCUUCGGAUCGUAAAACUCUGUUAUUAGGGAAGAACAAACGUGUAAGUAACUGUGCACGUCUUGACGGUACCUAAUCAGAAAGCCACGGCUAACUACGUG
rnacentral:rRNA from 1 species